rnacentral:rRNA from 1 species
AUUAGAGUUUGAUCCUGGCUCAGGACGAACGCUGGCGGCGUGCCUAACACAUGCAAGUCGAGCGAAGUGAGAUUAGAAGAAAUCUUCGGAUGGAAUCUAAACUUAUCUUAGCGGCGGACGGGUGAGUAACGCGUGAGGAACCUGCCUUUCACAAAGGGAUAGCCUCGGGAAACUGGGAUUAAUACCUUAUGAAACUAUAAUAUCGCAUGGUAAGAUAGCUAAAGCGAAAGCGGUGAAAGAUGGACUCGCGUCCCAUUAGUUAGUUGGUGAGGUAAAGGCUCACCAAGGCAGCGAUGGGUAGCCGGCCUGAGAGGGUGAACGGCCACACUGGAACUGAGAGACGGUCCAGACUCCUACGGGAGGCAGCAGUGGGGAAUAUUGCACAAUGGAGGGAACUCUGAUGCAGCGACGCCGCGUGAACGAAGAAGGCUUUCGGGUCGUAAAGUUCUGUCCUUGGGGACGAUAAUGACGGUACCCAAGGAGGAAGCCCCGGCUAACUACGUGCCAGCAGCCGCGGUAAUACGUAGGGGGCGAGCGUUGUCCGGAAUUAUUGGGCGUAAAGGGUUCGCAGGCGGUUACAUAAGUCAGAUGUGAAAGCCAUAGGCUUAACCUAUGUAAGCAUUUGAAACUGAGUAACUUGAGUUAAGGAGAGGAAAGUGGAAUUCCUAGUGUAGCGGUGAAAUGCGUAGAUAUUAGGAGGAAUACCAGUGGCGAAGGCGACUUUCUGGGACUUAAACUGACGCUGAGGAACGAAAGCGUGGGGAGCAAACAGGAUUAGAUACCCUGUAGUCCACGCCGUAAACGAUGAGUGCUAGGUGUUGGGGGGAAACCUUCGGUGCCGCAGCUAACGCAUUAAGCACUCCGCCUGGGGAGUACAUACGCAAGUAUGAAACUCAAAGGAAUUGACGGGGACCCGCACAAGCAGCGGAGCAUGUGGCUUAAUUCGAAGCAACGCGAAGAACCUUACCAGGGCUUGACAUGCCCCUGACCGGUGUAGAGAUAUACCAUUACCUUCGGGUACAGGGGACACAGGUGGUGCAUGGUUGUCGUCAGCUCGUGUCGUGAGAUGUUGGGUUAAGUCCCGCAACGAGCGCAACCCUUGCCUUUAGUUGCUAACAUGAAAAGAUGAGAACUCUAAAGGGACUGCCGAUGAUAAAUCGGAGGAAGGUGGGGAUGACGUCAAAUCAUCAUGCCCUUUAUGUCCUGGGCUACACACGUGCUACAAUGGUCGGUACAACAAGAAGCAACAUAGUGAUAUGAAGCGAAACUUAAAAAGCCGAUCCCAGUUCGGAUUGCAGGCUGCAACUCGCCUGCAUGAAGUCGGAGUUGCUAGUAAUCGCGAAUCAGCAUGUCGCGGUGAAUGCGUUCCCGGGUCUUGUACACACCGCCCGUCACACCAUGGGAGUUGGAAAUACCCGAAGCCAGUGAGCUAACCUGAAAAGGAGGCAGCUGUCGAAGGUAGGGUCAAUGACUGGGGUGAAGUCGUAACAAGGUAACCAAU